GACGUAGGGGGCCAGCGUUGUUCGGAAUUACUGGGUGUAAAGGGGUUCGUAGGCGGUGUGGCAAGUCGGGAGUGAAAUCUCUGGGCUCAACCCAGAGUCUGCUUCCGAAACUGCUGUGCUUGAGUGUGGGAGAGGCGCGUGGAAUUGCAGGUGUAGCGGGUGAAAAUGCGUAGAUAUCUGCAGGAACACCCGUGGCGAAAGCGGGCGCGUGGACCACUACUGACGUGAGGAACGGAAAGCUAGGGGGAGCAAACAGG
rnacentral:rRNA from 1 species